rnacentral:rRNA from 1 species
UACAGAGGUCCCAAGCGUUGUUCGGAUUUACUGGGCGUAAAGGGUGCGUAGGUGGCGGGGUAAGUCUGGUGUGAAAUCUCCGAGCUCAACUCGGAAAAGCAUUGGAAACUAUCCCGCUAGAGGGUCGGAGGGGAGACUGGAAUUCUCGGUGUAGCAGUGAAAUGCGUAGAUAUCGCGAGGAACACCAGUGGCGAAGGCGAGUCUCUGGACGACUCCUGACACUGAGGCACGAAAGCUAGGGGAGCAAACAGG